UACGAAGGGGGCUAGCGUUGCUCGGAAUCACUGGGCGUAAAGCGCACGUAGGCGGCUUACUAAGUCAGGGGUGAAAUCCUGGAGCUCAACUCCAGAACUGCCUUUGAUACUGGUGAGCUUGAGGCUGGAAGAGGUUAGUGGAAUUCCCAGUGUAGAGGUGAAAUUCGUAGAUAUUGGGAAGAACACCAGUGGCGAGGGCGGCUAACUGGUCCAGAUCUGACGCUGAGGUGCGAAAGCGUGGGGAGCAAACAGG
rnacentral:rRNA from 1 species